UCCUUGGUAGCUCAGACACUAAAGAAUCCACCUUCAAUGCAGAAGACCCAGGUUCGAUCCCUGGUUAAGGAA
rnacentral:tRNA from 1 species